rnacentral:rRNA from 1 species
GGGCUCAUGGAGUUUCGGUGGCGCAGCUAACGCAUUAAGUAAUCCGCCUGGGGAGUACGGUCGCAAGAUUAAAACUCAAAGGAAUGACGGGGGGCCUGCACAAGCGUGGNAGCAUGUGGUUAAUUCGAAGCAACGCGCAGAACCUUACCAACGUUGNACAUCCUCAUCGCGAUUUCCAGAGAUGGAUUUCUUCAGUUCGGCUGGAUGAGUGACAGGUGCUGCAUGGCUGUCGUCAGCUCGUGUCGUGAGAUGUUGGGUUAAGUCCCGCAACGAGCGCAACCCUCGCCUUUAGUUGCCAUCAUUUAGUUGGGUACUCUAAAGGAACCGCCGGUGAUAAGCCGGAGGAAGGUGGGGAUGACGUCAAGUCCUCAUGGCCCUUACGCGUUGGGCUACACACGUGCUACAAUGGCGACUACAGUGGGCAGCGACCAUGCGAGUGGAAGCUAAUCUCCAAAAGUCGUCUCAGUUCGGAUUGUUCUCUGCAACUCGAGAGCAUGAAGGCGGAAUCGCUAGUAAUCGCGGAUCAGCAUGCCGCGGUGAAUACGUUCCCAGGCCUUGUACACACCGCCCGUCACACCAUGGGAGUUGGUUUCACCCGAAGGCAGCGCGCUAACCGCAAGGAGGCAGCUGACCACGGUGGGAUCAGCGACUGGGGUGAAGUCGUAACAAGGUAGCCGUAGGGGAACCUGCGGCUGGAUCACCUCCUUAAGCUUGGAUACCCGGG